rnacentral:SRP_RNA from 1 species
GCUAGGCAUGUUGUCAUGUGCCUGUAGUCCCAGCUACUUGGGAGGCUGAGACAGGAGGAUUGCUUGAGCCCAGGAGGUGGAGGCUGCAGUGAGCUGUGUUUGUACUACCACACUCCAGCCUGGGCGACAAAGUGAGACCCUGUCUCAA